rnacentral:tRNA from 7 species
GCGAGGGUAGCCAAGCGGCCAACGGCGGCGGACUCAAGAUCCGCUCUCGUAGGAGUUCGUGGGUUCGAUUCCCUCCCCUCGCA